rnacentral:rRNA from 1 species
UACGUAGGCAGCGAGCGUUGUUCGGAGUUACUGGGCGUAAAGGGUGUGUAGGCGGUUGUUUAAGUUUGGUGUGAAAUCUCCCGGCUCAACUGGGAGGGUGCGCCGAAUACUGAAUGACUAGAGUGCGGGAGAGGAAAGUGGAAUUCCGAGUGUAGAGGUGAAAUUCGUAGAUAUUCGGAGGAACACCAGUGGCGAAGGCGGCUUCCUGGACCUGAUCUGACGCUGAGGAGCGAAAGCGUGGGGAGCGAUCCGG